AUGGCUGGAUGAGAAAUAUACUUUCUUUGAUGUAAAUAUAGAAUUUAAUUUUUGAUUAAAAAAGAUCAAAUUUUAAUAUAGGACGAGAAGACCCUAUAGAAUUUUAUUUUAUCUCAAUUAAUUUCUUAUUGGUAAAUUUUUGCUUUUUAUUUGAGUUGAAAUUUUGUUGGGGUGACAAAAAAAAAUUAAUAACUUUUUUUGUUUUUAUCAUUUAUAUAUGAUUUAUUGAUCCUUUACUAGGGAAAUAAGAAUAAAUUACCUUAGGGAUAACAGCGUUAUUAUUUUAGAGAGUUCUUAUCGAUAAAAUAGUUUGCGACCUCGAUGUUGGAUUAAAAUUAGUUUCAGGGGUAAAAGAUUGAUUGACUAGGUC
rnacentral:rRNA from 1 species